AAUCAUGGUUUGUAGUUCAAAUACAGCUUAGCUUAUGAAAGUGAUGUGUCCAAAGUCCUUAUGCCAUGAGAGAAAUGAGACUAUAUGGACAUAUGAUAAUAUAUGUAUGGGGAUAUUAGUAUAUUCAGAAAGAAAAGGGUGUGGUGAAAGUCUAAAGCAACGUGGUUUCAAAUGAAAACAAUAAAUUCACAACUUAGUGGCCCAAUAAGGCAAUAACGAAUACGCAAAAUGAUACACGGCUUCUACAUUCCAUACAAAUUGAAUGGUAAGCCGGAUUGUUUGACUUGUAGUGUUUUUAUUUUACUUGUAGUGUUUUUAUUUUACGCGUGGUGUUUUUUGACGUCUAGUGUUGUUACUUUCGCCUUCUAGAUUUUUUUUUUGUCGACGACUUUUAGAUUUAAUGUGUAGGCUAUGCUUUUUUUUUUUUUUGUCAACUGUAAUUUAUUAAAUGGAUCAAGCCCAAACGGGAUAAGAUCCAAACAUUACAAUAAAGAAAAAGGCCAACAAAACAGGCCAAACUGAACAAUACAACUACGGACCGAAGCCCAUAGAGGAAAACAAAACAGGUCCAAAGGAAAACGUGAUCGAUUCUUCCACACGUGUUGAACCUAAAGCGAAGAUGGAACACGUGUCCAGAAGAGGAAUCAUCACCUUACUUCAACGACCGGUAACCGUCGCCGGAAUCUCAAAUCGGACUUCCACCGGAAACAAACCGGAACAGGAAGGAGGACGAAGAGUAACCGGCAACAGCAAUAGUAACAGAUCAGCUCAAAGGGUGGCCAAACAUGGCUCACCAGUCACCACAAGGCUUCAAAGAGAACUUCGCCGGAGACCCGUUGCAAAGAUAUCUCAAGCCGAUUGAAAAGAAAGGACCACCGCUUCAUAAUUGUAAUAAUCGAUUGUCUCAAUCGAUCUGGAGGGAUCAGAUUCACCUGCUAGCAAAGCCCAGACAUCUUUAUAGAUUGAAAUAAGCUUGAAGAUGAGACAACUCUUAACGAGAAAAGGAACAAACAAUCCAAUCCAUAGAUCGAGAGUCAAUCGAGACCCAAUAAACCACAAAGAAACAGAGGUCAGGGGAAGAAGAAGAAAAUAAAACAAAGGAACCAGAAAGAUUCUGGAAUCCAGCUCGUCUACAACGCCGUAGAAGAACGGGAAGGGACGAGAAAGGAGCCGGCGAAGACGACGUUAUAGGAACCGUCGCAACCCAGAGUCAAAAGCCCGAGACAUCGGGAGUCAAAAACCAGACAAGAUCUGGCUAUAAACAAAAGAAAGUCUCAAGCUUCAACUCAUCUUCCCUGUAAAAGAUACGUAGAGAGAGAACAGAGAGGAGAGGAGCGAGACUUUUUUUUUUUCGCAAAUUCAUAGUUUUCUAAAACUUCAUGUAGGCUAUGCUAUUUCAAACAUUUUGUUAAUUAUAACUUUAUAAGUAUAUCAUACUCUUUUUUGAACACAAAAAGUAUACCAUACAUAAAAAUGAAAAAUAUACCAUACUUUACUUAUUGGCAUUUUU
rnacentral:lncRNA from 1 species